GAGGGGAUAGCUCAGUGGUAAAGCACGAGCCUAGCAAGCACGAGGCCCUAGAUUCAGUCCCUAGUACCUCCA
rnacentral:tRNA from 1 species